rnacentral:lncRNA from 1 species
AGCAAUUACAAAUAGUAUACCGAGGUGAGAAUAUAAUUUUUUUCUCUACCUCCUUAGGGCAGAUAAAUACUAUUUAAACCAAUAUACGCUUUGUUUUUGCCUCUUUAUCAUUACAUAACAUUUACAGUAAGAUAAUGUGAUUUGUUACUUUGUAACAGAUUUCCUGUAUUAACAUUUGUCAUUUGAUUUUUGUAUUCAGGAGGAGGACAGCUUCCUUUUUCAUCAGUUGAAUCCUUGGGCAAAAAUCGAUAAAUCAUAAAAUUAUUAACAAAAGCCAAUGUAUCAGAGUGUGCAGCACAACUAAUAGUUUAUAAGCUUUCUUUUAUAAACGUCCAUAACUGACAUAGCUCUGCUACUCAGAGUGACUAUGGAACUCAGAGAUGUUCUUCUGCCUCUA